rnacentral:rRNA from 1 species
GUGGGGAAUCUUAGACAAUGGGGGAAACCCUGAUCUAGCCAUGCCGCGUGAGCGAUGAAGGCCUUAGGGUUGUAAAGCUCUUUCAGCUGGGACGAUAAUGACGGUACCCACAGAAGAAGCCCCGGCUAACUUCGUGCCAGCAGCCGCGGUAAUACGAAGGGGGCUAGCGUUGUUCGGAAUUACUGGGCGUAAAGCGCACGUAGGCGGAUCGGAAAGUUGGGGGUGAAAUCCCAGGGCUCAACCCUGGAACUGCCUUCAAAACUAUCGGUCUGGAGUCCGAGAGAGGUGAGUGGAAUUCCGAGUGUAGAGGUGAAAUUCGUAGAUAUUCGGAGGAACACCAGUGGCGAAGGCGGCUCACUGGCUCGGUACUGACGCUGAGGUGCGAAAGCGUGGGGAGCAAACAGGAUUAGAAACCCGGGUAGUCC